CAACUUGUUAAUGCUGAGGUCAAAAUUGUUCUAGUCAGUUUGUUAGGCGAGGCUAUCCAAUUAUUUCUUGCAGCCCAUCCCCAAUUUCCUGCUUAAGGGCUGGAUAUGUCUCUAACUUUCUGCAUUUUUUUCAGUGUUUCUGAUGGGACUGGACAAGAAAUGGAUAAGCAGCUUUUGAGCAGUAACAUGGCUAAUCAGGAAAAUACUGCUUAUCCAUGAGCUAGGGCCCAAAGGCUGUAUUAUGUGGAGGGCUGUGGUGAAUUUAGUGCUUCGCAUGGUAGACAACUUCAACUAAUGUUGAAUGCCAAAGUGUAAACGUUGAUCGUGUGACAAAUGUAAAUUGAUUCAUGAGGAGAGACUGUGGUUUGGUGCAAAGAAAGUGUUCUGGAAUUGGAAGAUCUGGAUCAGACUCAGGCUCUGUCAGAUAAUGGCUGUAUCAUCUUUGAAAAGCAAAACAAUCUACUAAUGAAAUCAGAAGGAUUUCCAGUGAUGCUGCCCACAUUUCUGUGAAAAAGAGGAAGUUUUUUAAGUCAGAUGGAAGUUACACUUUUUCAAAAAAAAAAAUAUGCAGGGAAGAAUAACUCUCUCUCAUCAAUGUGGUAGGAAAAUAAAAUAUAUUAAUAGUUAAUAAGUAACAUUUGUUGAGAAUUUAUAAUAUCCUAGUUGAG
rnacentral:lncRNA from 10 species